GAUGAACGCUAGCGAUAGGCUUAACACAUGCAAGUCGAGGGGCAGCACAGGGUAGCUUGCUAUCUGGGUGGCGACCGGCGCACGGGUGCGUAACGCGUAUGCAACUUGCCCUAUACAGGAGGAUAACCCGUCGAAAGACGGACUAAUACUGCGUAUGCUCACAACUUGGCAUCAAGUGGUGAGGAAAGAAAUUCGGUAUAGGAUAGGCAUGCGUCCCAUUAGCUUGUUGGUGAGGUAACGGCUCACCAAGGCAACGAUGGGUAGGGGAACUGAGAGGUUUAUCCCCCACACUGGUACUGAGACACGGACCAGACUCCUACGGGAGGCAGCAGUGAGGAAUAUUGGUCAAUGGGCGCGAGCCUGAACCAGCCAAGUCGCGUGAAGGAUGACUGUCUUAUGGAUUGUAAACUUCUUUUAUACGGGAAUAACAAGAGUCACGUGUGACUCCCUGCAUGUACCGUAUGAAUAAGCAUCGGCUAACUCCGUG
rnacentral:rRNA from 1 species